CUAUAAAUCUUUGAAAAGUUCCCUCGACUAUCUUUCGUCUCCAUCAUCAGACUUUAAUGGCGCUUGUAACUCAUAUAGGUGCAAAGUUCUCAUCAAUAGAAACGAAUUAAGUUCAAACAGCAGGAAAUUGCUAUAAAUCGUUGAAGAGUUCCCUCGACUAACUUUUGUCUCCAUCAUCAGACUGUAAUGGCACUUAUAACUCAUACAGGUGCAAAGUUCUCAUCAAUAGAAACGAAUUAAGUUCAAAAAGCACGUAAUUGCUAUAAAUCGUUGAAGAGUUCUCUCGACUAUCUUUCUUCUCCAUCAUCAGAUCGACUCCAGACCUUUAUUAAAUAGUAGUGCUUUAUAGUACUUAA
rnacentral:misc_RNA from 1 species